GCCCGUAUAACUCAGUGGUAGAGUGCUACACUUGUAUAUGUAAACUCGCACCGACGAGAAUUUACUGCAGUCGAUGUAGUGGCCAGUCGUUCGAAUCGGCUUAUGGGCA